ensembl:lncRNA
CAGUGAGCUGCUGGAGCAUAAGUGCUGUCCUACUAAACUGUAUUCACCAUGAUACCACAGAUUAUAAUGAAUGCAUUUUGACUUUUUCAUUACAGUCACACCUGGUUUGCAGCAAACAGGGAGUUCAUCAAGCCUGGAGAAAGGGACGUUUCCCAGUUGCACAAAUUUCCAUCAUGCCCAUCUACCUGGAGGACUUCAGAUGAGUACAGAAUCUUUUCAAAAGAGGGGACCGUUGUUUUUUCUUUGUUCAAAAGGAGACCAUUAAUAAAUGAAGCUGCCAUCCUACAAUUUCCCUACUCUCCCAGUAUGUGAGUUAUAUGAUUUGCUGCAUCAGACAAAACUGUAAGUGACUUGUCUCAUUAUGUUCUGUCCUGAGAUGACAGUACAAGUAUUAUGGGAACAUGAAAAAAUGAGGCAAUACAUUUGUGCCUCUUUCUUUUACCAUUAGCAUCAGCACUUUGGUUCAAUUCACAAUUGCACCCAUGCAGGUGUGUGUGAUUUGGGGAAUGGUAUUUAGCCUAUCUAAACCUUCACUUUCCAUUCUGAAAACAGAUAUUUCAAUUAAUACUUAAUCGAUUUAUCCUGACCUCAUAAAAUAUCAAUUUCAUUUUUUUUUUUUUUUUUUACUUCUCUCAGAAUAAAGGCCAGAAUCUUAAGAAAAGCUUAAAUGAUGGUGCUUAAUCUGGCCUCUGCCAACUUCCAAAAUGGCUGAACAUACCAUUUCUCCCCAUUACUCACUAUGGUCCAGUUACAGUGACUUUCCUCUUUAUCCUUGAAGUCCCCAGGCCACCUCCAUCUGCUGGACCUCUGCAUCUGUGUUUCAUUUGCCUGGAAUAUCCUGGAUCCCUUUCUUGCCAACACCUACUUAUUCUUCCUGCCUAAACUCUUUAUUGGAAUAUAUUCUCUGAACACUGAAACUAGAUUAGGUUCUCAUUUAUAAGCUUUCAAAGCGUUCUGUAAUUCCUGUUCAUAAUAUUCAUAGACCUUUAAUUAUAUUUUCUGUGACUGUCUUCCUAGCUAACUUUGCAUUCUAAGGUUGUAGAUAAAAAGUCUGGCUUGUCCAUCAUUGCACUCUGAUUUUCUUUCAUGGUGCCUUUUGAUGAGUGAAUGAAUAAAUGAGCAGCACAGUAGAGGGGGAAAAGCAGUAGAAAAAAAUAGAGAAUACUAGAGCACCCAACUACUAGCAUCUUCAAAGAGAAAAUUAAUUAACAUUCAUUGAAUGGCAACUUUUUAGAUUAGCAUAUCAUUUAAUUUUCCUAAUAAAUUGUAGAUAUUAGGUAAAACUAGCUCCAUUUUACAGACAAAGAAAAAAAAGUCCUCAAAGAUUAUAAAUCACCCUAAAUCACACAACUCACAAGUAGUAGAGAUGAGAUUUCAGCACAGCUUGGCCCAAGUUCAGUGUUUUUCUUCUUUCUACUAUUCCUUGAAGAUUAUGAUAAUUAUAAUGAACUGAGCUGCUGAAUAUCAUUUAUUGGAUAUUUUCUAAAUGCUAGUGUUUACUCUGAGUGCAAUGUUCAUUUUCUUACUUAAUAAUUGCAAUAAUCCUUUGAAAUUAAUUAUGUUUUCAGUUCAUAAAUAAAUCAACCGAAGACUACUGAGUACUAAGGGACUAUGACUUUCCCAAAAUCACAAAUAUAGCAAAUGUUAGAGCCAGGAUUUAAAUCCA